GCAGKCGACGGCAGCACGRACUUCGGUCUGGUGGCGAGYGGCGACGGGUGUUAAUACAUCGGAACAUGUCCUGUAGUGGGGGAUAGCCCGGGAAAAGWKGAWUUAAUACCGCAUACKAUCUACGGAUGAAGCGGGGGACUUGGGKCUSCGCUGUAGGGUGMCCGAUGGUUGAUAAGCUUAGUUGGUAGGGUAAAAGCCUACCAAGGCGACGAUCAGUAGCUGGUCUGAGAGGACGACCAGCCACACUGGGACUGAGACACGGCCCAGACUCCUACGGGAGGCAGCAGUGGGGAAUUUUGGACAAUGGGCGAAAGCCUGAUCCAGCAAUGCCGCGUGU
rnacentral:rRNA from 1 species